rnacentral:tRNA from 1 species
GGGGUUGUAGCUCAGUGGUAGAGUGCUUGCCUCACAUGUGAGUCACUGGGUUCAAUUCUCAGCACUGCA